GUGUCACGAAAUGGUCCCAUCUCAGCAUGUUGCUGGCGACUUCCAGCGCUGAUCUUCCGAUUAGACCAUCAAGUGAGAAAUAAUCACGGAAGGUAACAGACAAAAAAAUAAGUAAAGAAACAUAAAAUAAACCGAAAAAUUGAUUACACACAUUUUACACAGCUAAUACAAAAAAGAGAUGAAUUAAGUACACGGAUUAACCGAUCGAACUUGUACCAUCCGGUCGGGUCACAUCGUGGCGCGGCAUUAGGCGCGCAUAACUAGCGCCAGCGGUAGCUACACGAAAUUAAAUUCGAUGACAGAUUUGACAAACAAUAAAGUGAGUGAAUCUAAUAUAAUAUUAUGUAAAAUCUCAAUCAGUUUUAACUUUUUAGUCAUGAAAACAAUGUUACAAAGUUGGCUAAAAUACAUAAACAAAAACAACACCAAAGUUAAACAAAUAGAAACAUAAUGAAAUUACACAGAUAAAAAGGAUGGCGUGUCGGGAAUGGUGUCGACUCCUAUGCGGAAGGAACAAGAACAUUGUGGUUUCUCACUGGGGGCGGAAUGUUGUUCCAACAGCGGGACGCAGAAUAUUUAAAGCUUCCUCGGAAAGCGGCUGAGGCAUGACGCGGCGUCAACAGAUGAAUCCCACAAUCACGGCGUUCGCGGAGCUUGAUGCAAGAUAGCUUGUUGAAGAGAUAUGAAGGAGUUUUAUAGUUCAGUACGCCAAAGAGCAAACAAGCCAAGUGUAGUUUACGGCGGUGUUGCAUUUUGAGGAUGCUAUGGCUAUUCAGAUAUGGGGUCACGUGAGCUCUCAACGGAAUAUCGAAACAGAAGCGAGCACAGGCAUUUUGAACACGCUGUAUGAGUCGUUUAGUUUUUGCAAGAAGUCUUGGCCCAAACACAACAUCCACGUAGUUCAGCUUUGAUAGGACGAGUGAUUCAAUUAAUUGAAUGCGCAGGUUUUCACUUAAAUAUGGCCGAAUUUUAUAUAGUACCUUAAGUUUAUAAAAGCAACUCCUAAUGGCCUCAGCGGUAUGUUUCUCAUAUCGUAGUCCGCAGUCCAUUAUGAGACCUAAGUUACGCGCCUCAUACACCCUCUCAACUGGUUUGUUCAUUAGCAGAACAUCCACUGAAAUGCUGGCACCGGCCAGUUGCUGCUUGCUGCCAAACACAAGGUAUUUUGUUUUGCUAGGGUUAAGUAGUAGGCAGUUUUGUGUAGCCCAUCCAGCAAUUCUGGUGAGAUCUUCAUUUAGUUUCCCUAUGGUACUGUUGAUAUCGGCGGGCUUACAUGAUAUAUAUACUUGUAUGUCAUCUGCGUAGAUGUGGUAUUUGCAAUGCGUGAUGUGAGAUGUAAUAUCUGCAGAAUAUAAUAUAAACAGGAGCGGGCCAAUCACGGAUCCUUGCGGAACUCCUCUAGUUAGCUCGGCUUUCUCAGAAAAAAGUGAAGAACCAUCACUGAGAUGCACCGUUACAAUUUGCGAUCGGUUAGACAGAUAGCUUGCAAACCACAUUACAGUUUUAUGGUCAAAACCAUAGUAGCUCAACUUCGAUAAUAGCAGGUUAAUAUUCAAACAAUCGAAUGCCCUCGAAAAGUCGAGGAGUACUAAAAGUGUGCACAUUCCCUUGUCUUGAGCAUCCAAAAUGUUAUCAGUGACAUCCAAUAGAGCAGUCAUUGUACUACGUCCUUUGCGGAAACCUGAUUGGACAUCUGGCAAAAUAUUGUUUUUUUCUAGGUAGGUGGUUAACUGUGAGCAGACAACUUUUUCCAAUAUUUUAGAUAGGCAGGGUAGUAUGCUUAUGGGCCUAAGGUCUUUAGGCAUGGUUGGGUUUGAUACUUUAGGCAAGGGGUUUACUAAUGCUAACUUCCAGAUAUCUGGAAAGGUGGAUGUAACAAUAGAGGUAUUAAUUAGGCUUGUAAUGAUGUCAAUUGUGUAUGGGAAAGUUAAGAUAAGCAUAUUCAAAUUUAUCCCGUCAAAACCCUCGGCGUUAGAUUUUAGACAUUUAAUUAUUUUGAUAAUCUGGCUAGAAUUAAUAGUGUCUAAGUGGAAAACAGAGUCACUGUGCUUAUGGAACUCAAAAUAAGUUAGCUGUGAUAUAGUGACACCUGUAGUUCCCGGCAGCUCUAGAAAAUGUUUAUUUAAGAUAUCGGGGUUAUUGAAAAAAGUAGGUAAUUCUUUAUCCUUUUUAGGCAAGACUGCUGACUUUAAGUUUUUCCAUAAAGUUUUAGGUUCUUUUAUUUUAUUAUUUAUAUUUUGUUUGAAAUAUGCAACUUUUUCAAAAUAUAAAGCUUUAUUUACAACAGAUUUAAGAUCUUUGUAGUAUUUCUUUUUAACAUCACUCUGGUUUUUGUGGAAGUCUGCCGCAGCACUGUCACGCAGCCUCAUCAUAUGUUUGAUGGUGUCAGUAAUCCAGGGGUAGGAUUGUGUUGUAACUAGGGACGUCUUUACAGGGGCAUGUACAUUAAAUAGACUAAGUACUUGUUGAUUAAAAACAUUAAUCAUGUCAUUUACAUUUUCAAGAUUUGAUAUUAAGUCCCAUCUCACGCACUGCAAGUCCACAUCUAAAUCUUUGUCGCAGAUAUUUUUAAAAGGCCUGUAGGUAAUGUGGUAAGGUUUUAGUUUCUCGCGCUUAAUAUUAAAAUUACAGACAACAAGACAAUGACCAUACAGUGAACCCACAUGAUCCAUGUGAGUGCUAGCAGCCCGCAAGUCAGAGCAGACAACGUCGAUCAGCGUCUGGCUGGUGUCAGUGAAAUGCGUAGGCUGAGACACCAAUUGAGUUAAUCCAGUACUUGUUAUGAAGUUAUUGAACUGAGUGGUUUUUGUGUCGGUGCCAUUCAAUAAGUUAACAUUGAAGUCACCAAGUAUAAUUAGAUUAUCGUAGCCACGGAUUGCACUAACUGAGUCAGUUAAGGCAUCAAAAAAUAAUUGCAGAUCCAUCCAAGGUGGUCGGUAUGCCGUUCCGAUUACCAGCUUCUUUCCGUUGAGAGUAAAUGUGAUCCACAUCUGCUCCACCAGCUUAUGCAACGGGUCAACGGGAUGAGGCCAGGUCCGAGCUUUGAGAUUACGCUUAAUAUAAAAGCCUACGCCUCCACCGCGCGACCGGUCGCCCUGCGGUCUAGGAAUAUGCCGGAAACUAUAUCCAGAAAGUGUCGGCGCCCGCCCUUCUUCACCCGCCCUUAACCAUGAUUCGUUGAUCGCCAACACAUCAACAUCCUGCCGAGUAGCAGCCGCUAUGAAAUUGUCAUGAUUUGUGCCAAGAGAACCUGCAUUGUACAAACC